GAUCGAUCGCUCAUGCGAGCGGAUCGCAGCGAUCCGUCGCUCGUGUGUGGGGUAUAAAGCUGUUCACUGGCGAUACUAUGGAGAGCAUUAGCUAUUUGCUGCCUCCAAGUUGAUAUGUAUCUGUAUGGCCACCAUCUACAAAGCACUGUGAAUAAAUACAGCGUUUGGACAACACUUUGUAGUGUUCCGCCAUAUUAGCGGUAUGUUUGAAAGAUGUCUGCCUGGCUGUACUAGCGAUUUAACGACACUGAAAAACUGGUGAGCGUUUGUGGACGACCUACGCCCGCAAUCCUAGUCAUGUUACUUGGAGUCAAUGUACGGUGGGCUGGAAUGUGGGCUGAUCCCGGCGGUACUGCGAUGCUGGGUCAACAUGUGACAAUGCUGGAGGAAUCCCCUAGCACUCUGUCAUGAGCCAAAAAUGAGUUUAAAAUUCUGGUCCUAGUGAAAAUCACCAAAGAAGUAUUUUAAUCAGAGUUUCCUGUCAUUUGGUGGGGAGAGUCCGGUGGAGCUGCUUCAUGGGUACCAGCUAAGAAAACCACUACACCUCCUGCAACCUCCACCUGUUAGACAUCAACCCAUGCAGCCACUGCGCCUCCUCUAUCAGGAUGCGGCUGUCUGGGUGCGCGGUUUUGGACGUCACCCUGGAUGGAUUCCAGCUGUCACCACCAGAUGCUGUCUGGUGCGCAGUGUUUGAACAUCACCCUGGACGGAUUCGAUAUGUCAUCGCCAGAUGCUAGAGGCAGCAUCUCUGCGACAUCUGCAUGGAGGACAGACUCUGCUUGGGGUCACCAUGUGGAUGGCCAGGCACUCCCUGAUGUCAUACCGUUGCUUAUAAGCUCGUCCAUAUCAGACGUCACAUCAGAUACUGCUUCUGGUUCACCACUCCUGUGC